CACGGAGUUAGCCGGUGCUUCUUCUGCGAGUAACGUCAAUCGCUGCAGCUAUUAACUACAGCGCCUUCCUCCUCGCUGAAAGUGCUUUACAACCCUAAGGCCUUCUUCACACACGCGGCAUGGCUGCAUCAGGCUUGCGCCCAUUGUGCAAUAUUCCCCA
rnacentral:rRNA from 1 species